CACACUAGCUGGACUAGGCCAGAUUUAUCAGUAUGAGAUAGCAGUUGCAGUGUAAGGAUGCAGAAAGAGAUUGUCAUGCUUGAAAUUAUGUGCCUGCUUCAAUCAUUGGACGGUGGAAGAAAGCAUGCAGCUGUUUGAAUGAUUGAAUCUGCAUCAAGAGAGAAAUGGCAUCGGCUGAGAAGCUCAGCCAGUGUUUGAUUUCAUACCAGUGUCUUUCCUCUUCAUCUGUGACAAACUGUGAUUCAAGCUCCUCUGAAUUGAUCAUUCCUCAGACAGUUGCAAACAGUACCUUAUUGUCAUGGGUGGUGACUAUACAAUGCAUGAUCCUUUGCCUUUCUAGGCAUUGUGGGUGUUCACUGUGGUGUUUGGUGAGGUUAAGCCGUGUUUCAGUAUUUGUGAGAUGUUAGAUCUGAGGAACCUUGCACCAACAGGUGAAAUUAUAAUUUCUGAAGUGUAGACGGUUCUAAUUUGAUUAUUGCUGUAAAAUUGUUCAUGUCUUGCUGUAUUACAAUUUUGUGGCUUUUACAUGUUGUACAUUAAUGGCCUUUUGGUUUUUACGUGCGUCUUGUCUUCAAAUAAGACGCUUUUUAUUUAUUUUUCUUUCCUUCUGUGAGCAUCAGCA
rnacentral:lncRNA from 1 species